rnacentral:rRNA from 1 species
GCCAGCAGCCAUAUCACCCUGCUGGUGUGAGCCUGGUCAGUACCUGGGUGGGAGACCUUCUAGGAAAAUAGUUGUUGCUGGAA